rnacentral:tRNA from 1 species
AUCUUUCUAGUAUUAAAUAGUACAUGUGACUUCCAAUCACUCAGUCUUGGUUAAAGUCCAAGGAAUGAUA